AAUGUCUUGGUUUGUUUUGUCUCAACUUCCUUUAUUACAUCACAUCCGUUACAGAAUUUAACAUGGUAUGUUAUGUAUGAUUUGAGGUUUUCACAGCGAAGACGUUUUAGAAAGAACAAGAGAUUCUUCAAUACGUCUCGAGAUCUAUUGAUAAGGACCGACGGCAGUCUCUCAUGAACUUCCUGGUUCCGUUCCAUAAAGAUGGGGGGAUUUUAUGGAACCCUGAAGAUCAUUAACCCACCGCAACUGUGAUAGGUACUUCCAUCUUCAUGUGCAGUGAUUUAGAUGCAGAGUUGUAUCUGCAGUAAAUGAACAUCAAGGCAGAAUUUUAAAGAGAAGAUAUACAUUUGUACUCGAAACUGAAGCACAGAUUCCCACUCUUAUGUUGAUGGAUUUGCUACUUAACCUCCACCUCACUGCUCAAGAAUGCUGCAGGUAGCCUUCGCUGGUUGAGGCAUUUAGGUAACACAAUAUUACAUCAAGAGGCUCGGUAAUGAAGUUCCAGACACUACCCAGAUGAACCACCGCUCCAAUACUAUGACUGGCAAUAAGAUGCAAUAAAAUAAUUAUUACAGAGGUAUCACAAUCUUAAAACUUUGCAGACCAUGUAAUGUAUUAGUAUAUAAAAUAAGCAAACUAUUAACAAUUAAAAAAAUGUGAAAUCUGGGCAACCGGGCCUAUUAUUUUAACUGAAAAUCCUGUCUUGUGUUAAACGUGGUUAGUUUAUUUUUAUUUCCACUUGAAAUUAACACUUUUGUGUAAAAUCUUACGUAAUUUCCAUUUAACCACAACUAACUUCACUGAGCACAAUCACUCUUGAGAAACUGAUAGUCGCUCGGUUGCUCAAGAAAUUAUCUUGAUAAAGCAGAAAAACCUCAUAUGUACUGAUGAUUAAAUAUCUGGCUGCACAGGUGACAUAAUCCAAUUCCAUGAAGCAAUCCUUCUGGAAAAGUUCAUAGUUGCUUAACUAGUCCAUAAAAUCCCUGUUUUUUAUGGACUAUUUAUUACCAUGUUCACAAGAGUUCACCACCAAAUUCUGAGACAGGUUCAUCCAGUGCAUAUCAAGUCUAUUUUGGGAAACUUCUAAUUGUAAUAAUAAAAAUACCUGAAUUAGGGUAAUAUGGCUGUGUUAACAUUA